rnacentral:rRNA from 1 species
CUUGGUCAUUUAGAGGAAGUAAAAGUCGUAACAAGGUUUCCGUAGGUGAACCUGCGGAAGGAUCAUUACUGGGUUACAGGGCGCUCCGGCGCCCGACACCAACCCUUCGUUUCCCGCUCGUCCUUUGGCGCAAAGGGGGCUCUCUGUACUGGGGGCCUCUGCCAAAAGCAACACUGAACAACGGUGCAGCCUGAAGUAAAAAGCAAAUAGUUAAAACUUUCAACAACGGAUCUCUUGGUUCUGGCAACGAUGAAGAACGCAGCGAAAUGCGAUAAGUAAUGUGAAUUGCAGAAUUCAGUGAAUCAUCGAAUCUUUGAACGCACAUUGCGCCCCCUGGUAUUCCGGGGGGCACACCUGUUCGAGCGCCAUUUCACCCCUCAAGCCUCGCUUGGUGAUGGGCCCUGCCCGCGGGCGGGCCUGAAACUCGUGGGCGUCGACGACCGGCUCCGAGCGUAGCAAAACCCUCGCUCGGGACCCCGGCCGCCGGCCGCCCCGGACCUCGUAACUUUUCACAAGGUUGGCCUCGGAUCAGGUGGGGAUACCCGCUGAACUUAAGCAUAUCAAUAAGCGGAGGAAAAGAAACCAACAGGGAUUGCCUCAGUAACGGCGAGUGAAGCGGCAACAGCUCAAAUUUGAAAUCUGGCUCCUUUGGCGCCCGAGUUGUAAUUCGUAGAGGGUGCUUCGAGUGAAGCCCCGGCCCAAGUCCCUUGGAACAGGACGUCAGAGAGGGUGAGAACCCCGUGUCCGGCCGGCGGCGCUCCUCGCGUGAAGCCCUUUCGACGAGUCGAGUUGUUUGGGAAUGCAGCUCUAAAUUGGUGGUAAAUUCCAUCUAAAGCUAAAUACCGGCCAGAGACCGAUAGCGCACAAGUAGAGUGAUCGAAAGAUGAAAAGCACUUUGAAAAGAGAGUCAAAAAGUACGUGAAAUUGUUGAAAGGGAAGCGCUUGCGGCCAGACUUGCCCGCGGAUGUUCAGCCCGUCUUUUGGCGGGUGCAUUCUUCCGCGGUCAGGCCAGCAUCGGUUUGGGCGGCCGGACAAAGGCCCUAGGAACGUGGCCCCCUCCGGGGGGUGUUAUAGCCUGGGGUGCAAUGCGGCCAGCCCGGACCGAGGAUCGCGCUCUGCUAGGAUGCUGGCGUAAUGGCCGUAAGCGGCCCGUCUUGAAACACGGACC